rnacentral:rRNA from 1 species
UACGUAGGGUGCGAGCGUUGUCCGGAAUUACUGGGCGUAAAGGGCGCGUAGGCGGCCUGUUAAGUCGAACGUGAAAUCCCCGGGCUCAACCUGGGAACCGCGCUUGAGACUGGCAUGCUCGAGUUCGGGAGAGGAUGGUGGAAUUCCCAGUGUAGAGGUGAAAUGCGCAGAUAUCAGGAGGAACACCGGUGGCGAAGGCGGGUCUCUGGGCCGAUACUGACGCUGAGGUGCGAAAGCGUGGGGAGCAAACAGG